GACAGAGGGUGCAAACGUUGUUCGGAUUUACUGGGCGUAAAGCGCGUGUAGGCGGCCUUGCAAGUCGGAUGUGAAGGCCCACGGCUCAACCGUGGAAGUGCAUCCGAAACUGCAUAGCUUGAGUCUCGGAGAGGAAGGUGGAAUGCUUGGUGUAGAGGUGAAAUUCGUAGAUAUCAAGCAGAACACCUGCGGCGAAGGCGGCCUUCUGGACGAUGACUGACGCUGAGACGCGAAAGCGUGGGGAGCAAACAGG
rnacentral:rRNA from 1 species